rnacentral:tRNA from 1 species
GCUGUGAUGGCCGAGUGUUUAAGGCGUUGGACUUGAAAUCCAAUGGGGUCUCCCCGUGCAGGUUCGAACCCUGCUCGCAGCG